AGAAACAGCUCAAAAGAACGAGGUGCUUGUUUGUAGGACAAUCAAAGAGGAUAUCGACAAUGAAGAUAUGCCAGGAUGUAACUUUGAACUUCGCGAGAAAACUGAGCAAGUGCCAUUGCAUUACAAUAUUACUAUUGGAUGAAGGUUGAUU
rnacentral:ribozyme from 1 species